rnacentral:rRNA from 1 species
GAUGAACGCUGUCUACAGGCUUAACACAUGCAAGUCGAGGGGAAACGACGGGGAAGCUUGCUUCCCCGGGCGUCGACCGGCGCACGGGUGAGUAACGCGUAUCCAACCUGCCUCUGACUGAGGGAUAACCCGUCGAAAGUCGACCUAAUACCUCAUGGCAUCGUCUGCGGGCAUCCAACGACGAUUAAAGAUUUCAUCGGUCAGGGAUGGGGAUGCGUCUGAUUAGCUUGUUGGCGGGGUAACGGCCCACCAAGGCUACGAUCAGUAGGGGUUCUGAGAGGAAGGUCCCCCACAUUGGAACUGAGACACGGUCCAAACUCCUACGGGAGGCAGCAGUGAGGAAUAUUGGUCAAUGGGCGGGAGCCUGAACCAGCCAAGUAGCGUGCAGGAUGACGGCCCUAUGGGUUGUAAACUGCUUUUAUGCGGGGAUAAAGUGAGGGACGUGUCCUUCAUUGCAGGUACCGCAUGAAUAAGGACCGGCUAAUUCCGUG